rnacentral:tRNA from 1 species
AGUAAAGUCAGCUAAAAAGCUAUCGGGCCCAUACCCCGAAAAUGUCCGCCGGACCUAUACUA